rnacentral:rRNA from 1 species
AACGUAGGACGCAAGCGUUAUCCGGAGUUACUGGGCGUAAAGCGCGGGCAGGCGGCCCGAUACGUCUGAUGUGAAAUCUCCUCGCUCAACGGGGAGAGGCCAUUGGAAACGGACGGGCUGGAGGGCAGUAGAGGUAGGCGGAAUUCCGGGUGGAGUGGUGAAAUGCGUAGAGAUCCGGAGGAACACCAGAGGCGAAGGCGGCCUACUGGGCUGCACCUGACGCUGAGCCGCGAAAGCCAGGGGAGCGAACGGGAUUAGAAACCCCGGUAGUCCUGGCCGUAAACGAUGUUCACUGGAUGGCGGCUCGAACGGGUCGUUGUCGAAGCUAACGCGAUAAGUGAACCGCCUGGGGAGUACGGUCGCAAGGCUAAA